rnacentral:misc_RNA from 1 species
GAUGAAGAACGUAGCGAAAUGCGAUAAGUAAUGUGAAUUGCAGAAUUCAGUGAAUCAUCGAAUCUUUGAACGCACAUUGCGCCCGCUAGUAUUCUGGCGGGCAUGCCUGUCCGAGCGUCAUUUCAACCCUCAAGCCCCCGGGCUUGGUGUUGGGGAUCGGCGAGCCUCCGCGCCCGCCGUCCCCUAAAUCCAGUGGCGGUCUCGCUGUAGCUUCCUCUGCGUAGUAGCACACCUCGCACUGGGAAACAGCGCGGCCACGCCGUUAAACCCCCAACUUCUGAACGUUUGACCUCGGAUCAGGUAGGAAUACCCGCUGAACUUAAGCAUAUCAAUAAGCGGAGGA